UGUAAGGGACAGGGGGGACAGUAUGGGAGUGAGAAUGUUGGCAUGAGUAGCGAGAUGUGGGUGAGAAUCCCACAGGCCGUAAACCCAAGGUGUCCAGGGGAAGGUUCGUCCGCCCUGGGUUAGUCGGGACCUAAGCUGAGGCCGAAAGGCGUAGGUGAUGGACAACAGGUUGAUAUUCCUGUACUACCGAUAACC
rnacentral:rRNA from 1 species